rnacentral:rRNA from 1 species
GAGAACUUUCCAGAGAUGGAUUGGUGCCUUCGGGAACUCUGAGACAGGUGCUGCAUGGCUGUCGUCAGCUCGUGUUGUGAAAUGUUGGGUUAAGUCCCGCAACGAGCGCAACCCUUAUCCUUUGUUGCCAGCGGUCCGGCCGGGAACUCAAAGGAGACUGCCAGUGAUAAACUGGAGGAAGGUGGGGAUGACGUCAAGUCAUCAUGGCCCUUACGAGUAGGGCUACACACGUGCUACAAUGGCGCAUACAAAGAGAAGCGACCUCGCGAGAGCAAGCGGACCUCAUAAAGUGCGUCGUAGUCCGGAUUGGAGUCUGCAACUCGACUCCAUGAAGUCGGAAUCGCUAGUAAUCGUGGAUCAGAAUGCCACGGUGAAUACGUUCCCGGGCCUUGUACACACCGCCCGUCACACCAUGGGAGUGGGUUGCAAAAGAAGUAGGUAGCUUAACCUUCGGGAGGGCGCUUACCACUUUGUGAUUCAUGACUGGGGUGAAGUCGUAACAAGGUAAGCGUAGUGCU